rnacentral:rRNA from 2 species
GAGCGAGUGGCGAACUGGUGAGUAACACGUGGGUAACCUGCCCCGAAGCGGGGGAUAACAUUUGGAAACAAGUGCUAAUACCGCAUAAUUAGUUGGAACCGCAUGGUUCCAACUUGAAAGAUGGCUCUGCUAUCACUUUGGGAUGGACCCGCGCCGUAUUAGUUAGUUGGUGAGAUAAAAGCCCACCAAGACGAUGAUACGUAGCCGACCUGAGAGGGUAAUCGGCCACAUUGGGACUGAGACACGGCCCAGACUCCUACGGGAGGCAGCAGUAGGGAAUCUUCCACAAUGGACGAAAGUCUGAUGGAGCAACGCCGCGUGAGUGAUGAAGGUUUUCGGAUCGUAAAACUCUGUUGUUAAAGAAGAACAAGUGUUAGAGUAACUGUUAACACUUUGACGGUAUUUAACCAGAAAGCCACGGCUAACUACGUGCCAGCAGCCGCGGUAAUACGUAGGUGGCAAGCGUUGUCCGGAUUUAUUGGGCGUAAAGCGAGCGCAGGCGGUUUUGUAAGUCUGCUGUGAAAGCCCUCAGCUCAACUGAGGAAGUGCAGUGRAAACUACAAAACUUGAGUACAGAAAGAGGAAAGUGGAACUCCAUGUGUAGCGGUGAAAUGCGUAGAUAUAUGGAAGAACACCAGUGGCGAAGGCGGCUUUCUGGUCUGUUACUGACGCUGAGGCUCGAAAGCAUGGGUAGCGAACAGGAUUAGAUACCCUGGUAGUCCAUGCCGUAAACGAUGAAUACUAGGUGUUGGAGGGUUUCCGCCCUUCAGUGCCGCAGCUAACGCAUUAAGUAUUCCGCCUGGGGAGUACGACCGCAAGGUUGAAACUCAAAGGAAUUGACGGGGGCCCGCACAAGUGGUGGAGCAUGUGGUUUAAUUCGAUGCUACGCGAAGAACCUUACCAGCUCUUGACAUCUUCUGCCAACCCAAGAGAUUGGGCGUUCCCUUCGGGGACAGAAUGACAGGUGGUGCAUGGUUGUCGUCAGCUCGUGUCGUGAGAUGUUGGGUUAAGUCCCGCAACGAGCGCAACCCUUAUUAUUAGUUGCCAGCAUUUAGUUGGGCACUCUAGUGAGACUGCCGGUGAUAAACCGGAGGAAGGUGGGGACGACGUCAAAUCAUCAUGCCCCUUAUGAGCUGGGCUACACACGUGCUACAAUGGAUGGUACAACGAGUCGCGAAACCGCGAGGUCAAGCUAAUCUCUUAAAGCCAUUCUCAGUUCGGAUUGCAGGCUGCAACUCGCCUGCAUGAAGUUGGAAUCACUAGUAAUCGUGGAUCAGCAUGCCACGGUGAAUACGUUCCCGGGCCUUGUACACACCGCCCGUCACACCAUGAGAGUUUGUAACAC